rnacentral:rRNA from 1 species
GAUGAACGCUGGCGGCGUGCCUAAUACAUGCAAGUCGAGCGAACAGACGAGGAGCUUGCUCCUCUGACGUUAGCGGCGGACGGGUGAGUAACACGUGGAUAACCUACCUAUAAGACUGGGAUAACUUCGGGAAACCGGAGCUAAUACCGGAUAAUAUAUUGAACCGCAUGGUUCAAUAGUGAAAGACGGUUUUGCUGUCACUUAUAGAUGGAUCCGCGCCGCAUUAGCUAGUUGGUAAGGUAACGGCUUACCAAGGCGACGAUGCGUAGCCGACCUGAGAGGGUGAUCGGCCACACUGGAACUGAGACACGGUCCAGACUCCUACGGGAGGCAGCAGUAGGGAAUCUUCCGCAAUGGGCGAAAGCCUGACGGAGCAACGCCGCGUGAGUGAGGAAGGUCUGCGGAUCGUAAAACUCUGUUAUUAGGGAAGAACAAAUGUGUAAGUAACUAUGCACGUCUUGACGGUACCUAAUCAGAAAGCCACGGCUAACUACGU